rnacentral:tRNA from 1 species
AAAAUCCGUCGACUUUAGAAAAUCGUGACCCUCUAUCCCCA